rnacentral:rRNA from 1 species
CAGCAGCCGCCGCGGGAAUACGUAGGUGGCAAGCGUUGUCCGGAAUUAUUGGGCGUAAAGGGCUCGUAGGCGGUUUCUUAAGUCUGAUGUGAAAGCCCCCGGCUCAACCGGGGAGGGUCAUUGGAAACUGGGAAACUUGAGUGCAGAAGAGGAGAGUGGAAUUCCACGUGUAGCGGUGAAAUGCGUAGAGAUGUGGAGGAACACCAGUGGCGAAGGCGACUCUCUGGUCUGUAACUGACGCUGAGGAGCGAAAGCGUGGGGAGCGAACAGGAUUAGAGACCCCUGUAGUCCCUGUCUCUUAUAC